CCUACGGGAGGCAGCAGUGGGGAAUAUUGGGCAAUGGAGGAAACUCUGACCCAGCAACGCCGCGUGAAUGAUGAAGGCUUUCGGAUUGUAAAGUUCUUUUGUCAGGGAAGAGGAAAGUGACGUUCCUUUAGGAAUAACCCCCGCCUAACUACGUGCCGGCAGCCGCGGUAAACCGUAGGGGGCGAGCGUUGUCCGGAUUGCCGGGGGGUAAAGGGGGCGUAGGGGGGCUGACAAGUCAGUGGUGAAUCCCGAGGGCUCAACCCCGGAACUGCAUUUAAAACUGUUGGUCUUGAGUACCGGAGAGGCAGGCGGAAUUCCUAGUGUAGCGGUGAAAUGCGUAGAUAUUAGGAGGAACACCAGUGGCGAAGGCGGGCUGCUGGACGACAACUGACGGUGAGGCGCGAAGGCGUGGGGAGCAAACAGGAUUAGAUACCCUUGUAGUC
rnacentral:rRNA from 1 species